GAUGAAGAACGCAGCGAAAUGCGAUAAGUAAUGUGAAUUGCAGAAUUCAGUGAAUCAUCGAAUCUUUGAACGCACCUUGCGCCCUUUGGCCAUUCCGAAGGGCAUGCCUGUUUGAGUAUCAUGAACACCUCAACUCUCAUGGCUCGCCAUGAUGAGCUUGGACUUUGGGGGUCUUGCUGGCCUGUGGUCGGCUCCUCUCAAAUGGAUCAGCUUGCCAGUGUUUGGUGGCAUCACAGGUGUGAUAACUAUCUGCGCUUGUGGUUUUCCAUCAGAUAACCUUCAGUGAUGGAGGUUCGCUGGAGCUCAUAAACGUCUCCCCUAAGCAGGGACAGCCCUUUGAAUGUUUGAUCUCAAAUCAGGUAGGACUACCCGCUGAACUUAAGCAUAUCAAUAAGCGGAGGA
rnacentral:misc_RNA from 1 species